AUCACCGAUGGAAACAGGACAGAGUUUCCAGAGCUCCGUCAUGCUGUCCUGGGUCCGAGGUCCCAAUCAGUUCGCCCAUCUGCUGCCCGUUUGUUUUGCUGCUAAUACUCAGAGCCUGCAGUCUAACAUCAGGUGUAUAUGGCUUCAACAAACGCAAACAGACCCUUUGCCGCCUGGGACAG